rnacentral:rRNA from 1 species
AGUUGAACGCGAAAGGGGCUUCGGCCCUGAGUAGAGUGGCGAACGGGUGAGUAACACGUGGGUGACCUACCUUCGAAUGGGGGAUAACGUCCCGAAAGGGACGCUAAUACCGCAUAACAUCCUGCCUUUGAAGAGGUGGAGAUCAAAGCCGGGGAUCGCAAGACCUGGCGUUUGAAGAGGGGCCCGCGUCCGAUUAGCUAGUUGGUGAGGUAAUGGCUCACCAAGGCAACGAUCGGUAGCCGGCCUGAGAGGGCGGACGGCCACACUGGGACUGAGACACGGCCCAGACUCCUACGGGAGGCAGCAGUGGGGAAUUGUUCGCAAUGGGCGCAAGCCUGACGACGCAACGCCGCGUGGAGGAUGAAGGUCUUCGGAUUGUAAACUCCUGUUGCCCGGGACGAAAUGCUUCGACCUAACACGUCGAAGUUUGACGGUACCGGGUGAGGAAGCCCCGGCUAACUCUGUGCCAGCAGCCGCGGUAAUACAGAGGGGGCAAGCGUUGUUCGGAAUUACUGGGUGUAAAGGGCGCGUAGGCGGCCUUCUAAGUCGAACGUGAAAUCCCCGGGCUCAACCCGGGAACUGCGUCCGAUACUGGAAGGCUUGAAUCCGGGAGAGGGAUGCGGAAUUCCAGGUGUAGCGGUGAAAUGCGUAGAUAUCUGGAGGAACACCGGUGGCGAAGGCGGCAUCCUGGACCGGCAUUGACGCUGAGGCGCGAAAGCCAGGGGAGCAAACGGGAUUAGAUACCCCGGUAGUCCUGGCCCUAAACGAUGAAUGCUUGGUGUGGCGGGUAUCGAUCCCUGCCGUGCCGAAGCUAACGCAUUAAGCAUUCCGCCUGGGGA